AUCUUCAUCGAAUGAGUCUAAACUAAAAAUAGUAACGCAAGGAAAACUCGAAGACAGCUGAUAUAUGAUGAAGCUAGAAACAGGAAAUACCAAGAUCUAGUUGAUUGGUUGUGAGAAGAUUUCAAAAAUACCAGAUUUGAUACGAGCUGAGACCUGUUUGACUGACAUAACCAUGGCAUCAAUUCGUCCAAAUGACCAUGAGAAUCUGAUGAAAAAGCUGGCCAUUGUGCAGAAGAAAUCUCUAGAUGUGAAGUUUGACCUUACCAACACUGACUAUCAGGCUGUAGAGAAUAUAGGUAUAGGUGCAUAUGGUGUAGUGUGUUCCGCCAUUCACAGAAAGUCACACGAUCGUGUGGCUAUAAAGAAAAUCCCCAGGAUAUUUGACUACUGUAAAAUAGGAACAACAACAUAUCGAGAAAUCAAAAUUCUGAAACAUUUCAAACAUGACAACAUCAUUUCUAUCAGAGAUAUCAUCAAACCUAAGGAAUCAGUGGAUGAGUUUCGGGACAUUUAUGUUGUGUUUGAUUUGAUGGAAAGUGACCUUCACAAGAUUAUCUAUUCAAAACAAGACCUUUCGGAGGAACAUGUGAGGUACUUUCUCUACCAGUUACUGAGGGGACUCAAGUACAUCCACUCGGCAAAUGUUAUUCACCGAGAUCUGAAGCCAAGCAACCUACUUGUCAAUGAGGACUGCCAGCUCAAGAUAGGAGACUUUGGUAUGGCACGAGGUGUGUCUGCAUCACCAGAUGAACCAAACCACUUCAUGACGCAGUAUGUAGCGACACGCUGGUACCGCGCCCCGGAGAUCAUGCUGGCAUUGGUGGAGUAUGGGGCGGCCGUAGACGUGUGGUCUGUUGGAUGCAUCUUCGCAGAAAUGCUGGGACGCAAACAUCUCUUUCCAGGAAAAGAUUACAUCAGUCAGAUUAAAUUGAUCGUUGGAAUACUGGGUUCCCCAUCUGAUCGACUUUUUCAGUUAUGUCAAUCAGACCUCAUCAAGCAGUUUAUCACCAAACUCGGGAAGAAGGAGUCCAUCGCCUGGAACACCCUGUUUCCCAAGGCCAGUAAGAAGUCUCUGGACUUUUUAGGGAAGAUGUUGGUGCUACACCCUGGUGACAGGAUCUCUGUAGAUAAUGCUCUCAAUCACCCUUACCUCAACAAGUACCACGACCCUGACGAUGAACCAAUAUGUCUGCCAACAUUUAACUUCGAUUUUGAGAAUGAGGAGAUGACAACAACAAAACUCCGCAAUAUUAUAUACAAGGAGAUCAUGGAGUACCAUGGGCCAAAGAGCCCACUAAUGAAAUUCAGUGCCUGUCUGAAGCCAGUUCCACGGGAAUCAACGUGUACAGUGUCAGCUCCUUGCAAACAAGAGUGUUCCACGACACAAGACUUCAAGCCUGGAUUAGACGCAUUGCAGGUUGUUCCUCAGAUUCAGCCGAAAGAUGAAUUUAAGCGACCCUUGACAGUAAAAAAGAAUGAUGAAAGGGUGACCCUAGACAAGGAGAGUUUGAAGAUACCCACGAAUGAUGUAGAAAUGCCAAGUGCUAAGUCAGAAUGUGGUGAACCACAGUCAUCUAUGUCAGUAUUACACAUGAAAGAGGAGGUCCAGCAGGAAAUAAAGAAGGAGAAUAAGACCAUUUCCUCUGAUACAAAGGCCCUAGUGAAGGCAGCACUGCUCAACUCUAGUCUGAAGAAACAAAGACAUGAAUCCUCUGUAGAAGCAGAUGACAGACCGAAACCCAUCACUGCUGCACAAAGACAGAAGGAGAGGGAGGAGAAAAGGAAGAAAAAGAAGGAAAAGGCUCUUGAGAGGACAAAGAAGAAGAAAGAACAGAAAGCUGAAUCCGGGGCACUCCUCACCGAUGCAGACAGAGAACUUCUCAACAGAUGGUCCAAGAUGCAGAAAGUGAACCAUCCUAUUGCACCAAAGCCCGACAACAAGCCCAACUCAACAGCCCAGCCCGCAAACUGUAAUAUGAUAUCUAUUGGGGAGACAGGUCAGACACUGGGGCAGCAGUGCCUCCAACAGUACCUGGCCAAUCAGAAAAAGGCUGCAGACUCUGACCCCACUCGUCCACAAGUCAACCCCACCAGUACAGUACAUCCCGGAUCUGACCGAACUUUGUCACAGACAGGAAACAGUAUAUCUCAGCCUGGCAGUCAUUCUGGCCAGUAUCAGUCGGACAUUGCACAGCCAGCUAGCUUCCCUCAGGACAGUGCACAGAAGCAUAGCCAAACAGUGAACUCCAGCAUGUCAGGUCAAAGUGGUCUUCAAACUGAUAGCAGUCAGAACAGCAUCAGUACAAACGUGAGGCUUUCUCAAGGAGGUGUGUCAUCUUCAAUAACUGAACAAAACAAUAUGUCAUAUACUCAUCAACUCUCGCUAAUAGCAGGAAGUCAAGGAACCCAAGGUAUUAUGGGUAAUCUCGUUCAACAGCAAGGAAUGAUGGAAGGUGGAAUUCAUAAAUUAGAAGAAAGUGAUAUGAAUAAUGACCUUUCAACUAUCAGUUUUGACAAUUUAAAGAUGCUUGGAAUCAUUAAUUCCCAGACAACAAAUUUUCAGCAAGGUCAUUUUUUCAGUACAACUCAACAGUCGUUUGGUACCACUGGAGGGGAGGGUGUAACAGGUGAUAAUAGAAUCUCUGCCACAUCAUCAUCUCUUCCUCCAGAUGAAAAUCAAAGUAAGUCCUUCUCGCAAGCUCGAGCACCAGUUUCUCAUGGGUCUCCAGCUUCUCCUCACAAAGACUAUAGUAAUCACAGCUCACCUGAAAGUUACCAGUCGCAUGGCUCACCAGAAUAUUAUCAUGGAGAAUCUCAGGACCAAAGUAAUAACAGACUGGGGUCAUACUCCGAGUCCAGUCCUCCUGACCUUCAACAGAGGUCACCACAACAGGGGUUCCAGCAGGGGGCACAUGAUUCUGUGUUUCAGCAGAGGACAUCCCAGUCAACAUUUGACCAACAACAACAAUCACCUCAGUCAUUAUUCCAACCGCAGAAUUCCCCUCAGUCAACUUUUGGAGAGUUUGGUCGAAGGCCUAGUGAUGACCAGCUCAGCAACACAGAUAGCCAGUCUAGCAAUCCUGGUCUGUCAGAUGCCAUUUUGUCACUGAACACAGUGCAGGAUUUGAGUGGACACAUAAACCAGAUUCCAUUUGCUCCAGUAGCCAUGGACAAUGACAACGGUCAGGGACAUUACUUUGGUGGUGGCUCCCAAAUCCCGUUUAAACAAGGUGCUACUUCACACGAUCAUCCACACCAACACUCUUAUUUCACACAUGGCUCUUCAAUGCAACCUGGCCAGUCAUUGACCAAUCAUCUGUUAUUCAAUGCUAACUCUCCACCAGACCUGAUCACCUCUCUGUCUAGGCAGUUGUCUCGGUCUCAGGUUGAUGACCCCUGUCCCCCAGCCCUAGCCUUGACCCCACGUGGCACAGGAGCCGGAUAUGGUGUGGGAAUGGACCUGGAUGCCCUCAUGGUUGAUGCUCAGGAAAUUGGUGCUCGCCCUGAACCUUCCCCCUUGUCGUCCUCCCUGCUGACUGACUGGAUGGAAGUGACUGGUGACCUCAAUAUAGAUAUGGAUGCUCUGGAGCAGGAGUUGAGCCUUCAGUCUCCCAUGACCUUGUCAUACAAUGACCUCUCCAUGUACACCACCUGAUCCAGAGCACUGCCAAGGCCUCCUUGAUCAAGAUCAGAACAAAGCAACUCAAUGCAAUUCCUAUAAUAUAGAUAAUGAAUCAAAUGUGAACCUGUAAAGUUGUAUACCUGUGUAUGAUGCUACACAUGUCAGUAGCAUUAGUAAGCUUGUUGGUUAGAUUUUUUUUUUUUUUUAUGUUGUGAAUUUCUAACAUUUGAUAAACAUUUUAUCGUGAAGUAGUUGUGGUAAGGGACUAAGGGAGGUAAUGUGGUCGAUAAGGGAGGUAAUCUCGUUGAUAAGGGGGGUAAUAUCAUCUCCCAUUUCAGUUAUAAGGGAGGUAAUAUCAUCUCCCAUUUCAGUUAUUAAAAACAAAACUAACUGAUUAUUACACUGAAACAGAAAGGAAAUUGUACAGACCUGGAUAGGUUGCUAAUGUGUUCAUAUCAAAAUAGUUUUAAGUAAAAGUAAAUGUUGGAUGAAUAGAGAAUGAUUUAGAUACUUUAGUUAUGUUGUAAACUGAAAAAUUGUUAUUUAUGAUUUAUAUGCACUUUACAUGUUAGAAACACUAGUCUAAAUUGUAAUAAAACAAACAUUGAAUGAUA
rnacentral:misc_RNA from 1 species